AUUGAACGCUGGCGGCAGGCUUAACACAUGCAAGUCGAGCGGGGUGAUGGUGCUUGCACUAUCACUUAGCGGCGGACGGGUGAGUAAUGCUUAGGAAUCUGCCUAUUAGUGGGGGACAACAUCUCGAAAGGGAUGCUAAUACCGCAUACGUCCUACGGGAGAAAGCAGGGGAUCACUUGUGACCUUGCGCUAAUAGAUGAGCCUAAGUCGGAUUAGCUAGUUGGUGGGGUAAAGGCCUACCAAGGCGACGAUCUGUAGCGGGUCUGAGAGGAUGAGCCGCCACACUGGGACUGAGACACGGCCCAGACUCCUACGGGAGGCAGCAGUGGGGAAUGUUGGACAAUGGGGGGAACCCUGAUCCGGCCAUGCCGCGUGUGUGAAGAAGGCCUUAUGGUUGUAAAGCACUUUAAGCGAGGAGGAGGCUCUUUUGGUUAAUACCCAAGAUGAGUGGACGUUACUCGCAGAAUAAGCACCGGCUAACUCUGUGCCAGCCGCCGCAGUAAAAC
rnacentral:rRNA from 1 species